rnacentral:lncRNA from 10 species
UGAGAACUCAGAGGUUCAUUGAUCUAUUCUGUUUUGUUUUGUGUAUGUCAUAAUUUUUUAAAAUUAGGAGAAGGAAGAUUAAAAAAGAGGAAGAGAAAGAAAAGAAAACUACACUAGGUUCUCAUCUUAACCUGGGAGUCACCUCUGUCUUCCUGGCAUCCGCACAAUCAGUAGGACCCAGCAAUCUCCCGCAGGACAUUUUCUAAAGUAGAAAUGAAAAGGGGAAUGCUGGAAGCCCCGUCAUUUUCACCAAGAUCUGGAUGCUCACUCUAAGCAGUGGAUCAGAGGAUGCCAAUAUUUGUGAUAAUUCAGCCAUUUUCUUGAAUAUUUGCCAAGAAGAAAAACUUUAAAAUUUUUCACGCCAGGCAUGGUGGCUCAUGCCUGUAAUCCUAGCACUUUGGGAGGCUGAGGCGGGUGGAUCACUUGAGCCCAGGAGUUCAAGACCAGCCUGGACAACAUUGUGAAACGUCGUAUCUACAAAAAAAUACAAAAAUUAAGCAGGCAUGGUGGUGUUCGCAUGUAGUCCCAGCUACUUAGGAGGUUGAGGCAAGAGGAUUGCUUGAGCCAAGGGGAGGUUGUAGUGGUUGCAGUGAGCUGAGAUCACGCCACUGCACGUUAGCCUGGGAGAUGGAGCAAGACCCUGUCUCAAAAAAAAAAAAUUUUUUUUCACCAAAUAUGAAAUAAAUCUAUGAUGAAUUUUCUGUUUUGUUUUGUUUUAUUUUGAGACAAAGUCUCGCUCUGUUGCCCAGGGUG